rnacentral:rRNA from 1 species
UACAGAGGUCCCAAGCGUUGUUCGGAUUCACUGGGCGUAAAGGGUGCGUAGGUGGUCGGGUAAGUCUGAUGUGAAAUCUCCCGGCUCAACUGGGAGGGGUCUUCGGAUACUGGCGGACUUGAGGAGUGCAGAGGUGAGUGGAAUUCUCGGUGUAGUGGUGAAAUGCGUAGAUAUCGAGAGGAACACCAGUGGCGAAGGCGGCUCACUGGGCACCACCUGACGCUGAGGCGCGAAAGCGUGGGGAGCGAACCGG